GACUAACGCUGGCGGCAUGCAUCAUACAUGCAAGUCGAACGAUCGGCUUUCGAAGCUUGCUUUGAAAGUACGGAGUGGCGCACGGGUGAGUAACGCGUAGGUAACCUGCCUCACAGUUCGGGAUAGCCGGCCGAAAGGUCGAUUAAUACCGAAUACGACGGCGAACUGGAAUCCUUUUGCCGGGAAAGGUGCUUCGGCAGUGCUGUGAGAUGGGCUUGCGUACUAUUAGCUUGUUGGUGGGGUAAUGGCCUACCAAGGCACUGAUGGUUAGCCGGCUUGAGAGAGUGAACGGCCACACUGGAACUGAGACACGGUCCAG
rnacentral:rRNA from 1 species